AAUCCUAUCCAACUAUGCCUCAUCUAUCUACUCCUUAAUAUUUGCCAAAAAAUCAUUUUCUUGUUCAUCUACAGGAGUGCGCUGCUCUCAUUGUACACUUUCUUUUCGCUUGGAGGGUCAACUUCUACUACCACUGCACUGUCUCGUUCUCCGAUGGCAUAAAGACUUGCUUGGCUCGAAGAUUCCUCAGGUGUCGUUGCUCUUGGU
rnacentral:misc_RNA from 1 species